rnacentral:misc_RNA from 1 species
UGUGGGAGCGAGCCUGCUCGCGAUAGCAGUGGGUCAGCUUGCAGAUUUAUUAACCGGUCCACCGCUAUCGCGAGCAGGCUCGCUCCCACA